rnacentral:misc_RNA from 1 species
CAACCCUUAAGCCUAGCUUAGUGUUGGGAAUCUACUGAGCGGUGCUACCCUGUAGCUACCCUGUAGUUCCUAAAAUUCAGCGGCAGAGUUAUUGUAUCCUCUGAGCGUAGUAAUUAUUCUCGCUUUUGUUGGUGCUAUAUCUCUUGCCGUAAAACCCCCAAUUUUUAAU